CCGUAAUAUAGCCCAAAUCACGAA
rnacentral:siRNA from 1 species